UACGUAGGGGCCAAGCGUUGUCCGGAUUUAUUGGGCGUAAAGAGCUCGUAGGCGGUUGGGUAAGUCGGGUGUGAAAACUCUAGGCUCAACUUGGAGAUGCCACCCGAUACUGCUCUGACUUGAGUUCGGUAGGGGAGUGGGGAAUUCCUGGUGUAGCGGUGAAAUGCGCAGAUAUCAGGAGGAACACCGGUGGCGAAGGCGCCACUCUGGGCCGAAACUGACGCUGAGGAGCGAAAGCGUGGGUAGCAAACAGG
rnacentral:rRNA from 1 species